rnacentral:pre_miRNA from 1 species
UAUGCCUGGCUCCCUGUAUGCCACAAGCAGAAGCCAACCUCUUGUUGCUUGGUUUUUUGUGGGUGGCGUACGAGGAGCCAAGCAUA